UACUGAUGGUCUGCAAGGAUGGCUCUGAAUGAUCAGUGCGUGAGUGAUCAGGACUGAUGGCCUAAUCAUAUCAGAGCUGUCGGGGACUUAGGUUCGAAUCCAGCCUGAAUCAUUUCCCGACCUCAUUCCCCCAUUUUCCUGUCUGUCUCUACUGUCCUAUCCGAAAACAAGGC